AGUAGCGGUGAAAUGCGUAGAUAUCUGGAGGAAUACCAAAGGCGAAGGCAGUCCCCUGGUCCGAUACUGACACUGAGGUACGAAAGCGUGGGGAGCAAACAGGAUUAGAUACCCUGGUAGUCCACGCCCUAAACGAUGUCGAUUAGCCAUUGGAAGGACCCCUUUUCCUUUCAGUGAUGUAGCUAACGCGUUAAAUCGACCGCCUGGGAAGUACGACCGCAAGGUUAAAACUCAAAGGAAUUGACGGGGACCUGAACAAGCGGUGAAUGAUGUGGAUUAAUUCGAUGCUACGCGAAGAACCUUACCUACCUUUGACAUGGCCAAAGUUCUACCGAGAGGCGGAAGUACUCGUAAGAGGAUUGGCGCACAGGUGCUGCAUGGUUGUCGUCAGUUCGUGUCGUGAGAUGUUGGGUUCAGUCCCGCAACGAACGCAACCCUUAUCUUUAAUUGCUCCUAUUUUAACAGGCACUUUAAAGAAACUGCCAAUGAUAAGUUGGAGGAAGGUGGGGAUCACGUCAAGUCCGCAUGGCCUUUAUAGGUAGGGCUUCACACGUCAUACAAUGGUUAGAACAAAGAGCUGCAAAUUCGUAAGAAGGAGCCAAUCUCACAAACCUAACCUCAGUUCGAAUUGCGGUCUGCAACUCGAGCGCAUGAAGCCGGAAUCGCUAGUAAUCGUGGAUCAGAAUGCCA
rnacentral:rRNA from 1 species